AUUGAACGCUGGCGGCAUGCCUUACACAUGCAAGUCGAACGGUAACGGGCCUUCGGGUGCCGACGAGUGGCGAACGGGUGAGUAAUGUAUCGGAACGUACCUUUCAGUGGGGGAUAACGUAGCGAAAGUUACGCUAAUACCGCAUAUUCUGUGAGCAGGAAAGCAGGGGAUCGCAAGACCUUGCGCUGAUUGAGCGGCCGAUAUCAGAUUAGCUAGUUGGUGAGGUAAAGGCUCACCAAGGCGACGAUCUGUAGCGGGUCUGAGAGGAUGAUCCGCCACACUGGAACUGAGACACGGUCCAGACUCCUACGGGAGGCAGCAGUGGGGAAUUUUGGACAAUGGGGGCAACCCUGAUCCAGCCAUGCCGCGUGAGUGAAGAAGGCCUUCGGGUUGUAAAGCUCUUUCGGCCGGGAAAAACUCGCAUCAGUUAAUACCUGGUGUGGAUGAUGGUACCGGAAUAAGAAGCACCGGCUAACUACGUGCCAGC
rnacentral:rRNA from 1 species